CAAUAGCGUAUAUUAAAGCUGUUGCGGUUAAAAAGCUCGUAGUUGGAUUUCUGUCAAGGACAACUGGUCCGCCCUCCGGGUGAGCACAUAGUUUGGUCUUGACAUCUUGCUGGAAGCUGUUGCUGCACUUGGCUGUGUGGCGCAGUGUUCAGCACUUUCACUUUGAGGAAAUUGGAGUGUUUCAAGCAGGCACAUGCCUUUGGACACAGUAGCAUGGAAUAAUUAGAUUGGGCUUUUGCUCCAAUUUGUCGGUUUCUGGAGCUGAGGUGAGUAUUAAUGGGGAUUGUUGGGGGCAUCCGAAUUUAGCCGUCAGAGGUGAAGUUCUUGGAUCUGCUAAAGACGGACAACUGCGAAAGCGUUUGCCCAGGAUGUUUUCAUUGA
rnacentral:rRNA from 1 species